AUCCGCCCAAGGCUCAUCACAUGUACAAUUUCAAUAAGAAGUGCACUAGCGGAAACAUACACAAACGGCUUACACGAGGGUAAGCAAUAGCCAUAAGUGAAAGAAAGGAAAACUAAACAUUCACAAGUAAUAUGAUUCAUUUUAGAUCAUAUACAUUGCAUCCAUUUCUUACAUUUAAGAUUCUUUGCUGUUCUUACAUAAUUUCAUCAUUUCUUUCUUACAUCACAUUUACCUCAAAGGAGCUUUACAUUCUCUUCUUUACAUCGCUAAUCAUCAAGUACAAAAGAUGAUAAAAGGGUGUUUGCUACAAAAUGUAACCCAACAUUGGUGGCCUCUGACUAAGGCGCGAUACCUUUACCGCGGUCGCUCGCCGGCUCGCUCGGUCCCGGCUCUGUGGAAAUAGUGGGGUGAGAACUACAAC
rnacentral:lncRNA from 1 species